AGGUUAUAGCAUUUUUUUGGGUCCCCUAAAUGAAGACCAGAAGCCCCCACACAAGAUGAAGGAAAGAAAAGGGGUGAUCUCUAGCAAGCCCUUCCCCUGAUGCUUUGGAGAGACAUUGGGACCGAACCACCAUUUGCACACAAGACUAGAAAUUAGUAGUUGUGGAUAACGAUUUGCAAGCAGAACUGGGCCUUGUCACCCCUGCCUCCCACUCUGAAAAGGGCCGAGCAGUGUCUUCCUGUGCAGACCCAAGAAGGCCUCAGGGAGGUGAUGUGUGUCUGCUGUCACCAGAAG
rnacentral:lncRNA from 1 species